UGUUAAAAAGCUCGUAGUUGGAUCAAGAGUCGGACAGUGCACGGUGGCCCUGUUUGUCAUAGUGGUUCCGAUCACUGUGACGGCAGCGGAUCAACCCCGUGCGCCAAACUGUCCGCUCUAACAGACCGAAACGGUUCCCUGUGAGUAGGCUCCUUAAUUGGGGCUGAAAGCGCUUACGCAUCAACCAUAUGCAUACGGGACGUCGGUCAAUGUUACUGUGAACAAACCAGCGUGUCCAAAACAGGCUUUCGCCUGAAUGUUCGAGCAUGGAAUAACAAGGGAUCGAUUCUCUCGGUUCUUUUUGUUGGUUUUUAACCCGAGAAGGAGUAAUUCAGUCCACGGUGUCUGAGUUGGGUUUCCCUUCACCUCGGUGGAGGCCCCAAUUAGGCCGUGUACUUACGGGAUAAAUAGGGACUGACGGGGUCGUACGUACUUCCACGUCAGAGGUGAAAUUCUUAGAUCGUGGGAAGACGAACUUCUGCGAAAGCAUUCGACAAGAAUGUCUUCAUUAAUCAAGAACGAGAGUGUGGGGAUCGAAAGAUGAUCAGAUACCGUCGUAGUCCACUACUGUAAACAAUGCCGUCUCAGGAUUGAGAAGUGAACAGAAUGACUUUCACAGCACU
rnacentral:rRNA from 1 species